GUUUUAACAAACUGAGUUAAACUCUCAAAAUGCUUAUUUUAAACCUUUAGAAACUAUGGUAGUCAAAUCCUUUGCCUCUACCUCCUUAUCAUCAGCUUAAAAGAAAGAUUUUCAGCUCUGCAAAACUGAUGGCAGUGGGAUCUUAUAAUAUAUUCAGCUCUGCAAGACGUCGCAGAUGUGGAGCCCACUCUAAAGGAGUUGCAGU
rnacentral:misc_RNA from 1 species